GCAAACAUGAAGGAUUUUCUUGGAGAAAGCGGGCAACUUUUCUUAUGAAUACAGAAAAGCAAAAGGAAGAUAAAGAAAUUCAUGGAAAUUUACCACCUAGAGAUGCUCUAUAACAUCAUCCUCUCCACCUAAUGCAGAAACAAAGGAAGCCUGGGAAGGAUGAGUUUUGAAUGGCAGAGUCCGG